rnacentral:lncRNA from 1 species
CCCGUAUUCACAUCCACUGCCUGCAUGCUUUCUCUCUCCCCCAUAUUUCUGACAUUUGGAUUUUCCCCCUACUAAUUGACAUGCCUGCCGCCUCCUUCUCCUGGUGUCCAUUUCUGGAACUGCUAUUUGUAUAUUGCAUGAUAUUUUAUCAGGGGGAAAAAUAAAACUGAGAUCCAAUUUCACGAAAAUGCUGUUUGCCAUAAUGCUCAGGAGGACAGGGGGAAGAGAGAGAGUCAAGUCUUCCUACUGUCUACCCCAUGUGCAGGUGGCAGUUUUGGCUUCCAGAAUAAUCAGCUGAUGCAGGAACAGCUGAUGCCUUCCUGGGUGAAAACAGAAUGUGAGCAAAACAGAAAGUUAAAGACAGAGUCUUGA